rnacentral:rRNA from 1 species
GACGAACCGUGCGAACGUUGUUCGGAAUCACUGGGCUUAAAGGGCGCGUAGGCGGGCCACCAAGUCCGGAGUGAAAUCUUUCGGCUUAACCGGAAAACAGCCUUGGAUACUGGCGGCCUCGAGGGAGGUAGGGGUCUGUGGAACUUCUGGUGGAGCGGUGAAAUGCGUUGAUAUCAGAAGGAACGCCGGUGGCGAAAGCGACGGACUGGACCUCCACUGACGCUGAGGCGCGAAAGCUAGGGGAGCAAACGGG